rnacentral:rRNA from 1 species
AAUGAAAGUGUCGUUGUGUAUUACCUAAACCAAGAGGUUCAUGUAAACAGUUGAACAACUUUCGUGCUUGGGAUUGUGAAUUGAAACUGUCCACAUGAAC